rnacentral:tRNA from 1 species
GGCUUCAUAGCUCAGUUGGUAGAGCAUCGCACUGGUAUUGCGGGGGUCACAGGUUUGACUCCCGUUGAAGCCC